rnacentral:sRNA from 1 species
UUUUAGCCCCGACAGAAGGGAUAAACCUUGUGAGUCUCGUCUUUUGGAACGAGACUCGCAAGUUUAGGAAUGAUGGCGGGAACGAUG